UACGUAGGGGGCUAGCGUUAUCCGGAAUUACUGGGCGUAGAGGGUGCGUAGGUGGUUUCUUAAGUCAGAGGUGAAAGGCUACGGCUCAACCGUAGUAAGCCUUUGAAACUGGGGAACUUGAGUGCAGGAGAGGAGAGUGGAAUUCCUAGUGUAGCGGUGAAAUGCGUAGAUAUUAGGAGGAACACCAGUUGCGAAGGCGGCUCUCUGGACUGUAACUGACACUGAGGCACGAAAGCGUGGGGAGCAAACAGG
rnacentral:rRNA from 1 species